GUCUAACACUAGCAUAGUCCGAACGUAGAAUCACUUGUGGGGGGAUAGUGGCGAACGGGUGAGUAACACGUGAGUAACCUGCCCUUGACUCUGGGAUAAGCCUGGGAAACUGGGUCUAAUACCGGAUAUGACUCCUCAUCGCAUGGUGGGGGGUGGAAAGCUUUUUGUGGUUUUGGAUGGACUCGCGGCCUAUCAGCUUGUUGGUGAGGUAAUGGCUCACCAAGGCGACGACGGGUAGCCGGCCUGAGAGGGUGACCGGCCACACUGGGACUGAGACACGGCCCAGACUCCUACGGGAGGCAGCAGUGGGGAAUAUUGCACAAUGGGCGAAAGCCUGAUGCAGCGACGCCGCGUGAGGGAUGACGGCCUUCGGGUUGUAAACCUCUUUCAGUAGGGAAGAAGCGAAAGUGACGGUACCUGCAGAAGAAGUGCCCGCUAACUACGUGCCAGCAGCCGCGGUAAUACGUAGGGCGCAAGCGUUAUCCCGGAAUCUAUUGGGCCGUAAAGAGCUCCGUAGGCGGUUUGUCCGCGUACUGCCCGUGAAAGUCCGGGGCUCAAACUCCCGGAUCCUGGCGGUCGGGUACGGGCCAGACCUAGAAGUGAUGUU
rnacentral:rRNA from 1 species